AGUGAACGCUGGCGGCAGGCCUAACACAUGCAAGUCGAACGGCAGCACAGUAAGAGCUUGCUCUUACGGGUGGCGAGGGGCGGACGGGUGAGGAAUACAUCGGAAACUACUUUUUCGGGGGGGAUAACGGAGGGAAACUGAUGCUAAUACCGCAUAUGUCCUACGGGUGAAAGCAGUGGUGCUUCGGACUUUUGGCGAUUGUAAGAGCCGGUGUCGGAUUAGCUAGUUGGCGAGGUAAAGGCCCACCAAGGCGACGAUCCGUAGCUGGUCUGAGAGGAUGAUCAGCCACACUGGAACUGAGACACGGUCCAGACUCCUACGGGAGGCAGCAGUGGGGAAUAUUGGGCAAUGGGCGCAAGCCUGAUCGAGCAGUACCGCGUGAGUGAUGAAGGUCUUCGGGUCGUAAAGCCCUGUUGUUGGGAAAGAACAAAAGCAGGUUAAUCCCCCGCCGUUUUGACGGUACCUAAAGAAUAAGCACCGGCUAACUUCGUG
rnacentral:rRNA from 1 species